CAACUUUUAUAGGAUAGAAGUAAUCCGUUGGUCUUAGGAACCAAAAAAUUGGUGCAACUCCAG
rnacentral:tRNA from 1 species